GAUGAACGCUGACAGAAUGCUUAACACAUGCAAGUCCACUUGAACUUCGGUUUGGGUGGCGGACGGGUGAGUAACGCGUACAGAACUUGCCUCACAGCUAGGGACAACAUUUGGAAACGAAUGCUAAUACCUGAUAUUAUGAUUAUAUGGCAUCGUAUAAUUAUGAAAGCUAUAUGCGCUGUGAGAGAGCUUUGCGUCCCAUUAGCUAGUUGGAGAGGUAACAGCUCACCAAGGCGAUGAUGGGUAGCCGGCCUGAGAGGGUGAUCGGCCACAAGGGGACUGAGACACGGCCCUUACGCCUACGGGAGGCAGCAGUGGGGAAUAUUGGACAAUGGACCGAGAGUCUGAUCCAGCAAUUCUGUGUGCACGAUGAAGUUUUUCGGAAUGUAAAGUGCUUUCAGUUGGGAAGAAAAAAAUGACGGUACCAACAGAAGAAGUGACGGCUAAAUACGUG
rnacentral:rRNA from 1 species